AAAAUAUUAUAUAAUAGUAUAUUAAUACAAAGAGAAAAAGUGGGUAAGUGACUCUCUUUUGGUUUUCGUUUUCUACCGAAAAACAACAGAAAACGGAAACUUCAAUUUUUUCCCAAAUCCGUAAAAAUACUUUUACAAAAAAAUUAUUUUACGUCAAAACCAAACAAGCAGAAAAGCAUUUUUCAUACCGAAAAAAUACUUUUACAAAAAAAUUAUUUUACGUCAACACCAAACAAGCAGAAAAGCAUUUUUCAUACCGAAAACAAUUUUUGACGUUGUUUUGCGCCGAACCAAACACCCCCUUAAGUUCCCUAAUUCUUUGGUGCACUGGUACGUCAUUGGUUCUGAAACAUGGUAAGAUGAUUUAGCAUAAUAUGAAAAACUUAGAGAAAAAUGUCUCUAGUAUUCAUGAUCUUAGUCUGCUUUUCUCUUCCUGCCUAAUUUCAUUGUGGAUCUCUCUUGAAUGCAUCAAUUACCCAUGCGUGGUAGCCCUAUAAAAUUUAAUUAAUUGUCAAUUUAUCAUUUCGUGCCACCAUUAGUGUGACCUCUGGAAGCGUAUUUUGCCUGUUUCCAGCAGUUUUGAACGAAAGUGUCGUAUAUAAUUGCUAUUACCCAGGAUGGAUUGUCUAAAAUUCCCUCAGUAAACAUAAACACGUUGUCACGCUUAGUUGACCAGAUCAAAUUUAGGUGCAUUAAUUAGAGGAUCCAGUGCGCUUUUUAUUUUGAAUGGAUUUAGCUCAAAUUUGGCUGAGGUACGUUUUUCCUCAACAUUUUUGUUGAAAUAUUUUAUAGGUUGGAUUUUGGAUCCGAUCAGGUUUUGUUCGCUAGCAAACUAGUUUAGUUUUCUGGAUCUGUUUUUUCAUUUCUUGUAAUGUAUGUAUGUAUAUAUAUAUAUAUAGAGUUUG
rnacentral:lncRNA from 1 species